rnacentral:lncRNA from 10 species
UAAUGUAAUUAGUUAAAUGCUCCAGACUAGUUGAGGCCAUCUAGGGAGUCUGUGUGGAUAAAGAUAUCAGAUGUCUGAGCCCUAAGGUACUCCAACAUUUAGAGGUGUGAGAGAUGAGAAGAACCCAGCAAGUAAGACUGAGGUAGAGCAACCAGUAAGAAAAGAGAGAAAAUGUCCUGGAGGCAAAAUGAAAAAAAGUGUUUCAUGCUGCAGAUCAGGUAAGAUGAAGUCUGAGAGCUGACCACUGAAUGUAGGAAUGAGGACAUUGCUGAUUAUCUUGACAACAGCAAUUUCAAUAGAGGAUUGAAAAGAAAGCCAACUGGAGUAGGUUUAAAAGAGAAUGGACAAGGCCGGGUGUGGUGGCUCAGGCCUGUAAUCCCAGCACUUUGGGAGGCCGAGGCAGGCAGAUCACCUGAGGUCGGAAGUUCGAGACUACCCUGACGAACAUGGAGAAACACCAUCUCUACUAAAAAUACAAAAAAAAUUAGCCGGGCAUGGUGGUGCAUGUCUGUAAUCCCAGCUACUUGGGAGGCUGAGGCAGGAGAAUCGCUUGAACCCUGGAGGUGGAGGUUGCGGUGAGCCGAGAUCACACCAUUGCACUCCAGCCUAGGCAAUAAGAGCAAAACUCCUCAAAAAAAAAAAAAAAAAAAAGGAAAUGGACAGGCGGAGCACGGUGGCUCAAAGGUCAGGAGUUUGAGACCAGCCUGGCCAACAUGGUGAAACCCCAGCUCUACUAAAAAUACAAAAAUUAAAAUUAGCCAGGUGUUGUGGCACAGGCCUGUAAUCCCAGCUACUCAGGAGACUGAGACAGAAGAACUGCUUGAAGCCAGGAGGCGGGGGUUGCAGUGAGCCGAGACUGUGCCACUAUACUCCAGCCUGAGUGACAGAGCAAGACUCCGUCUCAAAAAAAACAAAAACGAAAAGAAGGGACGGGACUAGGUGUGGUGGCUCAUACCUGUACUCCCAGUACUUUGGGAGGCCAAGGCAGGUGGAUCCCUUGAGUCCAGGAGUUUGAGACCAGCCUGGGCAACAUUGUGAAACCCUGUCUCUACAAAACUUAGCCAGGGAUGGUGGUGUUCACCUUUAGUCCCAGCUACUUGGCGGGCUAAGCCAGGAGGAUCGUUUGAGCGUGUGAUGUGGAGGUUGCAGUGAGCCAAGAUCAUGUCAUUGCAUUCCAGGUUGGGUAACAGAGCAAGACCCUGUCUCAAAAGAUAAAAAAAAGAAUGGACAGAGAUAUAGGAGACAGAGUAUGAACAAUCUUUUCAAAGUUUCUAUAUGAAGGAAAAUAGGAAUGAGGAGCUACAGGAAGAUAUGAGAUCAAGAGAAGAGUCUUUUACUAAGAUAGGAGACAUAAAAGCAUGUAUGUAUGAUGUUGGGAAUGUUUCAAUAGUAGAAAGAAAAAUCGGAUGGAA